AGUGAACACUGGCGGUAGGCCUAACACAUGCAAGUCGAACGGCAGCACAGUAAGAGCUUGCUCUUACGGGUGGCGAGUGGCGGACGGGUGAGGAAUACAUCGGAAUCUACUUUUUCGUGGGGGAUAACGUAGGGAAACUUACGCUAAUACCGCAUACGACCUACGGGUGAAAGCAGGGGAUCUUCGGACCUUGCGCGAUUGAAUGAGCCGAUGUCGGAUUAGCUAGUUGGCGGGGUAAAGGCCCACCAAGGCGACGAUCCGUAGCUGGUCUGAGAGGAUGAUCAGCCACACUGGAACUGAGACACGGUCCAGACUCCUACGGGAGGCAGCAGUGGGGAAUAUUGGACAAUGGGCGCAAGCCUGAUCCAGCCAUACCGCGUGGGUGAAGAAGGCCUUCGGGUUGUAAAGCCCUUUUGUUGGGAAAGAAAAGCAGCAGGUUAAUACCCCGCUGUUCCGACGGUACCCAAAGAAUAAGCACCGGCUAACUUCGUG
rnacentral:rRNA from 1 species